rnacentral:rRNA from 1 species
UAGGGAAUCUUCCACAAUGGGCGCAAGCCUGAUGGAGCAACACCGCGUGAGUGAAGAAGGGUUUCGGCUCGUAAAGCUCUGUUGUUGAAGAAGAACGUGCAUGAGAGUAACUGUUCAUGCAGUGACGGUAUUCAACCAGAAAGUCACGGCUAACUACGUGCCAGCAGCCGCGGUAAUACGUAGGUGGCAAGCGUUAUCCGGAUUUAUUGGGCGUAAAGAGAGUGCAGGCGGUUUCUUAAGUCUGAUGUGAAAGCCUUCGGCUCAACCGAAGAAGUGCAUCGGAAACUGGGAGACUUGAGUACAGAAGAGGGCAGUGGAACUCCAUGUGUAGCGGUGGAAUGCGUAGAUAUAUGGAAGAACACCAGUGGCGAAGGCGGCUGCCUGGUCUGUAACUGACGCUGAGACUCGAAAGCAUGGGUAGCGAACAGGAUUAGAUACCCUGGUAGUCCAUGCCGUAAACGAUGAGUGCUAGGUGUUGGAGGGUUUCCGCCCUUCAGUGCCGGAGCUAACGCAUUAAGCACUCCGCCUGGGGAGUACGACCGCAAGGUU